GGAGGUUUACUGGCCCUCCAGAGUCGCUCUGCGGGGAGAGGCUCUAAACCACCCCGAGCUGCAUUGGCUGAAGACCGUUGUGGUGAACGUCGCGGGAAAAGGCACGGCUCGACCGUGUCAGGU
rnacentral:ncRNA from 1 species